rnacentral:rRNA from 1 species
UACGAAGGGGGCUAGCGUUGCUCGGAAUCACGGGGCGUAAAGCGCACGUAGGCGGCUUUCUAAGUCAGGGGUGAAAUCCUGGAGCUCAACUCCAGAACUGCCUUUGAUACUGGAAAGCUUGAGUUCGGGAGAGGUGAGUGGAACUGCGAGUGUAGAGGUGAAAUUCGUAGAUAUUCGCAAGAACACCAGUGGCGAAGGCGGCUCACUGGCCCGAUACUGACGCUGAGGUGCGAAAGCGUGGGGAGCAAACAGG